UCCCUAGUGGCUCAGAUGGUAAAGUGUCUGCCUGAAAUGCAGGAGACUCAGGUUCGAUUCCUGGGUUGGGAA
rnacentral:tRNA from 1 species